CAUGCUGGAGGUAUCAGAAGUGCGAAUGCUGACAUAAGUAACGAUAAAGCGGGUGAAAAGCCCGCUCGCCGGAAGACCAAGGGUUCCUGUCCAACGUUAAUCGGGGCAGGGUGAGUCGACCCCUAAGGCGAGGCCGAAAGGCGUAGUCGAUGGGAAACGGGUUAAUAUUCCCGUACUUGGUGUUACUGCGAAGGGGGGACGGAGAAGGCUAUGUUGGCCGGGCGACGGUUGUCCCGGUUUAAGCGUGUAGGUGUGUGUUCCAGGUAAAUCCGGUUCACUUUAACACUGAGGCGUGACGACGAGGCACUACGGUGCUGAAGCAACAAAUGCCCUGCUUCCAGGAAAAGCCUCUAAGCAUCAGGUAACAUCAAAUCGUACCCCAAACCGACACAGGUGGUCAGGUAGAGAAUACCAAGGCGCUUGAGAGAACUCGGGUGAAGGAACUAGGCAAAAUGGUGCCGUAACU
rnacentral:rRNA from 1 species